UACGGAGGGUGCAAGCGUUAUCCGGAUUCACUGGGUUUAAAGGGUGCGUAGGUGGGCAGGUAAGUCAGUGGUGAAAUCUCCGGGCUUAACCCGGAACUGCCGUUGAUACUAUCUGUCUUGAAUAUAGUGGAGGUGAGCGGAAUAUGUCAUGUAGCGGUGAAAUGCUUAGAUAUCGUCAAGAACACCGAUAGUGAAGACAGCUAACUAGACUUAUACUGACGCUGAGGCACGAAAGUGUGGGGAUCAAACAGG
rnacentral:rRNA from 1 species